rnacentral:rRNA from 1 species
CCAAUAGCGUAUAUUAAAGUUGUUGCAGUUAAAAAGCUCGUAGUUGAAUUUCGGGAUUAGUAAGUUGGUCGUGCCUCUGGUAUGUACUGGCUUUACUGGUUCCUCCUUCUUGAAGAACUGUAAUGUCAUUAAUUUGGUGUUGCAGGGAAACAGGACUGUUACUUUGAAAAAAUUAGAGUGUUUAAAGCAAGCUAACGCUUGAAUACAUUAGCAUGGAAUAAUGAAAUAGGACGUUUGAUCCUAUUUUGUUGGUUUCUAGGACUGACGUAAUGAUUAAUAGGGAUAGUUGGGGGCAUUAGUAUUCAAUUGUCAGAGGUGAAAUUCUUGGAUUUAUUGAAGACUAACUACUGCGAAAGCAUUUGCCAAGGAUGUUUUCAUUAAUCAAGAACGAAAGUUAGGGGAUCGAAGACGAUCAGAUACCGUCGUAGUCUUAACCAUAAACUAUGCCGACUAGGGAUCGGAUGAUGUUAAUUUUUUAAUGACUCAUUCGGCGCCUUACG